rnacentral:rRNA from 1 species
AAGCAGGGGAUCGUAAGGCCUUGCGCUUUUGGAGCGGCCGAUGUCUGAUUAGCUAGUUGGUGGGGUAAAGGCCUACCAAGGCGACGAUCAGUAGUUGGUCUGAGAGGACGACCAGCCACACUGGGACUGAGACACGGCCCAGACUCCUACGGGAGGCAGCAGUGGGGAAUUUUGGACAAUGGGCGCAAGCCUGAUCCAGCAAUGCCGCGUGAGUGAAGAAGGCCUUCGGGUUGUAAAGCUCUUUCAGUCGAGAAGAAAAGGUUGUGAUGAAUAAUCACAACUCAUGACGGUAUCGACAGAAGAAGCACCGGCUAACUACGUGCCAGCAGCCGCGGUAAUACGUAGGGUGCAAGCGUUAAUCGGAAUUACUGGGCGUAAAGGGUGCGCAGGCGGCUUUGUAAGUCAGAUGUGAAAUCCCCGGGCUUAACCUGGGAAUUGCGUUUGAAACUACAAGGCUAGA